CUUCACCGUCCCGAGCCACAGCGGCGCCGCGCCGGCCGGCCGCUUUCCGUAGGCGGCCAGCAGCGCCUGCGCCUC
rnacentral:antisense_RNA from 1 species